rnacentral:rRNA from 1 species
CCUACGGGAGGCAGCAGUGGGGAAUCUUGCGCAAUGGGCGAAAGCCUGACGCAGCAACGCCGCGUGCGGGAAGAAGGCUUUCGGGCUGUAAACCGCUUUCAGCAGGAACGAAAAUGACGGUACCUGCAGAAGAAGGAGCGGCCAACUAUGUGCCAGCAGCCGCGGUGAUACAUAGGCUUCAAGCGUUGUCCGGAUUUAUUGGGCGUAAAGAGUUCGUAGGCGGUCGAGUAAGUCGGGUGUGAAAAUUCUGGGCUCAACCCAGAGACGCCACCCGAUACUGCUUAACUUGAGUUCGAUAGGGGAGUGGGGAAUUCCUAGUGUAGCGGUGAAAUGCGCAGAUAUUAGGAGGAACACCGGUGGCGAAGGCGCCACUCUGGAUCGAUACUGACGCUGAGGAACGAAAGCAUGGGUAGCAAACAGGAUUAGAUACCCUGGUAGUCCAUGCCGUAAACGGUGGGCACUAGGUGUGGGAUUCGUAUUAACGAAUUCCGCGCCGUCGCUAACGCAUUAAGUGCCCCGCUGGGGAGUACGGUCGCAAGACUAAAACUCAAAUGAAUUGACG